GGGGGCACGGUAUCGGAAUACUGGGCGUAAGCGCACGCAGGCGGUCUGUUAAGUCAGAUGUGGAAUCCCCGGGCUUAACCUGGGAACUGCCUUUGAUACUGGCAGGCUUGAGUCUCGUUGAGGGGGGUGGAAUUCCUGGUGUAGCGGUGAAAUGCGUAGAGAUCUGGAGGAAUACCGGUGGCGAAGGCGGCCCCCUGGACGAAGACUGACGCUCAUGUGCGAAAGCGUGGGGAGCAAACAGGAUUAGAUACCCUGGUAGUCCACGCCGUAAACGAUGUCAACUUGGAGGUGGUGCCCUUGAGGCGUGGAUUCCGGAGCUAAGGCGUUUAGUCCACCGCCUGGGGAGUACCGCCGCUAGGAUAAAACUCAGAUGUAUUGGCGGGGGCCCCCACCAGCGGAGGAUCUGGUGGUUUAAUUCGAUGCAACACGAACAACCUUACCUGGUCUUGGCAUCCUGAGAACUUAACAAAGAUGCUUUGGUGCCUUCGGGAACUCUGAGACAGGUGCUGCAUGGCUGUCGUCAGCUCGUGUUGUGAAAUGUUGGGUUAAGUCCCGCAACGAGCGCAACCCUUAUCCUUUGUUGCCAGCGUGUUCGACUCGGGAACUCACUGGAGACUGCCGGUGAUAAACCGGUAGGAAAGUGGGGCAUGACGUCAAGUCAUCUUGGGCCCUUACGGCACACGGCUACACACAAUGCUACAAUGGCGACAUACAAAGAGAAUGCGACCUCGAUGAGAGCAAGCGAGACCUCAUACAAGUGCUGUCGAUAGUCCGGAUGUGGAGUCUGCUCACUCGACUCCAUGAUAGUCUAGAAUCUCGUAGUAAUCGCCAUAUCAGAAUGCUACAGGUGAAUACGUUUCCCGGGGCCUUGUACACACCGACCCGUCGCAACAUGGGGAGUAGGUUUGCAACAGGAGAUAGGUAGCCUUAACCUUCCUGGGGGGACGCCUUGCCACUUUGGGAUUAUGAUAGGGGGGAAACCCUAAAAAAAAAGGGCCCCCACAAAAAAAAAAAAAGGGGGGGGGUAGUUGGC
rnacentral:rRNA from 1 species